UAAAGUACUCGCAUCUUUUCUGAUUAGGUGUAGUCACUUAAAUCUUACAUGGACGAGUGCUUUAUAUGA
rnacentral:ncRNA from 23 species